rnacentral:rRNA from 1 species
UACGUAGGGGGCAAGCGUUGUCCGGAAUUAUUGGGCGUAAAGAGCUCGUAGGCGGUCCGUUAAGUCGGAAGUGAAAUCUCAAGGCUCAACCUUGAAAUCGCUUUCGAUACUGGCGGACUUGAGGCAGGUAGGGGAAGGUGGAAUUCCUGGUGUAGCGGUGAAAUGCGCAGAUAUCAGGAGGAACACCGGUGGCGAAGGCGGCCUUCUGGGCCUGUUCUGACGCUGAGGAGCGAAAGCGUGGGGAGCAAACAGG